GCCUGAGGGACCGUUUCUUAGGAGGAAAAGGCGCAGCAUCCCACAAUGCACAUGCGCCCCCAAAGCCUUAUGGGUCUUGUAGUUUCCAGGGCAGCGGACUGGGGGUCAGCUUGGGAUAGGCGUUACCUGGAGCUGGGUUCGGUCCAGAGGGAAGAUCUCCUAGCCUGUGAGCGGCGAAGUUUACUGGAGUCAGGGAUGGGGUCCGGACAGGUCCAGCUCUUGGCCAUUAAAUCCCACCCCCAUGUCUCUUGUAGGGAUCCUGUGCUUACUAACAUUCCGAAGUCGUGUUAGCAGUGACCUCCUCCAGUGUGGUGCUUUAGCUGCUUGAGAAGCCGUUUUCUUUUUCUUUUCUUUCUUUUUUCUUCCUUCUUUCCUCCUCCCUUCCGAGAAAGGGUUCCACUAUAUAGUCUUGUCUGGCCUGAACUCCCUGUGUGGACCAAGCUCGCCUCCCAACUUUGUAAAGAGAUCCCCCAAUCUCAGUGCAGAGAACUUGUCUUGGUGACAGGUUUUGUUCGUGUGACAUUGAGGAUGAAGACCAGCUUUGGGGGCUUCUAAUAACCUGAGUCUUUUGCCUCCAUAGUGGCACACGUGUAGGAUACCAGCAAAUGCCUGUUGGCUAAAUGAAUAAUGUUGAGGGUGGUAAUGACCUUUCACUUUCACAUCCACCUGUUCUCGUAGCUUCCUCACCUCACCCUCAAUUGACGGUAUUUGUUCCAAAUGUUGUAGAUUCCCCAGUUCCAUCCCUAGAGAGGUGAUUCGAAUGUCUUGGCACAAACAAGGACGCUACAUCACACGUCUUCUAAAAACCAAAUGGAGCUAGAUACAGGUCCACACUUAGGAUCCCAGCACUUAAGACACUGCGGCAGGAAAUCCAGUUCUAAGACCUGAGCACAGACUGCAGCUCUGAAAAGGCAAACAAUAAAGGAGUACGGUUUUGCCAGUUGCGUGUGACGCUUGGGAUUCUGGGAACGUCUCAGAUGGCCCCGUCUCUUUCAUGUCCAGUGUCUGACCACCAAACUGCUUUGUGUGACUCAAACUAUGACUCUCAGUUCUACCAGACAGCUUCGUCUACUUGCACGAGGACACUUCCUGUGCUUAUACAGUAGCCAUUAGCUACAGGUAACUAUAUUUUGUUUUGUUCUGUUUCUGAGACAACGUCUCACACCACAUAGCUCUGGCUGUC